rnacentral:rRNA from 1 species
UACGGGGGGAGCAAGCGUUGUUCGGAAUCACUGGGCGUAAAGGGCGCGUAGGCGGUUUGGUAAGUGGAAUGUGAAAUGCCCCGGCUCACCCGGGGACCGGCAUUGCAAACUGCUCAGCUCGAGUAUGGGAGAGGAUGAGGGAAUUCCUGGUGUAGCGGUGAAAUGCGUAGAUAUCAGGAGGAACACCGGUGGCGAAAGCGCUCAUCUGGCCCAAUACUGACGCUGAGGCGCGAAAGCUAGGGGAGCAAACGGG